CACACCAACCACACUACGUCAAAUGCCUUACUAAAUCAUCAUCCAUAUGAUAAAGCAUCAGGAAAUUUAUCCCACACGAGGAGUAAUGCAGUUAGUUGCUGUAAUUCCAUUAUCACGGUUUUUCAUCAUGAACAUUUCAGUGUGCUUCUUACCAAAGAUACCCACAGACAUCUUUGAGCCAAUGCUGGAUUUUGUCCAUCACAGAAGAGGGACUUAACCAACGUUCUGCUCCAUCCUUAUCUUCAAGACUCAUCCAGCUUCACUGCUUCAGUGCUUCUUAUGCUGCUAGUCCUGCUACACAACUUUUCGUGCUUCACUGGCGAGUUGGAUCACUUCCGUUGCUGUGACACACCUGCAGCCAUCACCACGGGAUUAUCGCCAAGUCAUGCAGAGAAGACGUCGAGAAGAUGGACACCAAAACUUCGCCGGUCCAAAAUG